rnacentral:rRNA from 1 species
CGGUAACAGCUCAAAUUUGAAAUCUGACCUUUCCGGGUCCGAGUUGUAAUUUGUAGAGGAUGUUUCGGAUAAGGCUUUGGUUUAAGUUUCUUGGAACAGAACGUCAUAGAGGGUGAGAAUCCCGUAUGUGACUGGCUGCCUUCGCCUAUGUGAAGCUCUUUCGAC